CUACGGGUCGCUCCAGUGGGGAAUAUUGGACAAUGGACCAAAAGUCUGAUCCAGCAAUUCUGUGUGCACGAUGACGGUUUUCGGAUUGUAAAGUGCUUUCAACAGGGAAGAAGUUCUGACGGUACCUGUAGAAGAAGCGACGGCUAAAUACGUGCCAGCAGCCGCGGUAAUACGUAUGUCGCAAGCGUUAUCCGGAUUUAUUGGGCAUAAAAGGCAUCUAGGCGGCUUAGUAGUCUGAUGUGAAAAUGCGGGGCUCAACUCCUUAUUGCGUUGGAAACUACUAGGCUAGAGUAUUGGAGAGGUAGGCGGAACUACAUGUGUAGAGGUGAAAUUCGUAGAUAUAUGUAGGAAUGCCGAUGACGAAGGUAGCUUACUGGACAAUUACUGACGCUGAAGUGCGAAAGCUAGGGGAGCAAACAGGAUUAGAUACCCGAGUAGUC
rnacentral:rRNA from 1 species